rnacentral:sRNA from 1 species
AACUAGCCCUGAUAGCAGUGAAAAUCCUUUUUUGAGGAACGAAAAAAAGAUUGAAACGUAUAGCAGGAAAUAGC